CUGAUGCUGCGUCCCCAUUAGAGAGAAGACAAUCUGCGCGCGCUGUCCCUCUGUUGGAUCCAAUAAGACAAGAAAAGAGGAAAACAUGUCUAAAAUGACGAUCGUUCAGCUGGGGAUGUUUGUGUUCGCGAUUUCCUUAACAACACAGGUGGUCUCCCAGAACAACACAUACAUGACAGGAAUGAACUCCACCUCCAACUCCACCGCCAUGCCCACAGAGACCUACAGCAGUUCGGGUAACUCCACCGCUCCCGCUGGAGGCGCGGGCAUCUCUUUGCACGCAGGCACCCUCUCUGUCCUGAUCCCCAUCGUCACAGUGGCCUCCCUCCUUCAGCGCUGCUGUUGAGCACCUCUCGUCUUCCUUUCUUCUUCGUCAUGCUGUUUCUCGCCUCCCAUCUGUCACACUCAGAGACCACGACAUGGAUGGACACCAAAUCCCUCUUUGUCCCAAUUUAAUUAUGGCUAAAAAUGAAUUAUUCUAGACGUCUCUCUUUAUUCAAGGAUCUUUUGACUUGGAAUCAUCAACCUCCCCCACCCCCCAUCACUUCAGCGCCUUAUGGAAUCAAAAGGAAUGCACCCAGCUUCCCCUUUGGCCUGCGUUUUCAUCGACAGGCCCUCAUCUACUGCCUGUUGCAGAGGCCCAAGGGUUGUCUCGUCACGUGUUGUCUGAAAGGUGGACCAUUUGGGUGCGCAGAGCUUCAUUCUGUGGCUUUAAAUCCACACUACGACAUAUAUCCAAAUAUUCUUGUCUGUUAAAGUGAAGAUUGGCACCACUGGAGGUUUAAGAAUUGUGUUUGCGUGUAAACCAGACGGUAUCUUGAGCUGGGAUUUUUUUUCUUCAAAGUUUGGGUCUCUGGUUUUGUUACUGGAUAUAAUGUUGAUGUAUGCAGCACUGGGUUGCCACAUGUGUCAGUUUUGCCUUUUGAUUUUUAAAAAGUUUUUAACAAUGAGGGUGUAACACAUUUCCUCUCUUCAUAGAUGGGUUAAACCCAGGAAAUGACUGUUACCAGAAAGGUUUUACCGUAUAACUUCACCCGCCUCCCACCUCUUGUAGAAUAUAUUUUGUAUAAAUGGAAAUGUACUGUUUAUUAGUUUAAAUACAAGCCACUAAAAUAAAUGACAAUGUACAAUAAAUUGACAAUGGACCACUGUA